rnacentral:rRNA from 1 species
AGAACGAACGCUGGCGGCAUGCCUAAUACAUGCAAGUCGAACGAACUCUUCGGAGUUAGUGGCGCACGGGUGCGUAACGCGUGGGAAUCUGCCCUUGGGUUCGGAAUAACAGUUGGAAACGACUGCUAAUACCGGAUGAUGACGAAAGUCCAAAGAUUUAUCGCCCAGGGAUGAGCCCGCGUAGGAUUAGCUAGUUGGUGAGGUAAAGGCUCACCAAGGCGACGAUCCUAGCUGGUCUGAGAGGAUGAUCAGCCACACUGGGACUGAGACACGGCCAGACUCCGUACGGGAGGCAGCAGUAAGGGAAUAUUAGGACAAGUGGACGAAAGCCUGAUCAGACAAUCGCCGCGUGAGUGAUGAAGUCUUAGGGUGUAAAGCUCUUUACCGAG